rnacentral:rRNA from 12 species
UUAUUUGCAACCUUUGAUUUUGGACAAGAAAAUUACUUUGAGCAUUCUAGAGUGAUCAAAGCACUUGCAAUCAACUUCAAUCUGAUGCAGCUUGCUUUAUAUCGCUCGGCAUGUAGCAUCUGA